rnacentral:rRNA from 1 species
UCCUACGGGAGGCAGCAGUGGGGAAUUUUGGACAAUGGGGGCAACCCCGAUCCAGCCAUGCCGCGUGAGUGAAGAAGGCCUUCGGGUUGUAAAGCUCUUUUGGUCGGAAAGAAAAGGCCUUGCCGAACAGGUGGGGUUUUUGACGGUACCGGCAGAAUAAGCACCGGCUAACUACGUGCCAGCAGCCGCGGUA